UACAGAGGUGCCGAGCGUUAGGCGGAAUCACUGGGCUUAAAGCGCGUGUAGGUGGAUCGUUAAGUGUCUUGUGAAAUCCCACGGCUCAACCGUGGAACUGCUGGGCAUACUGACGAUCUUGAGGCACUCAGGGGCUGUCGGAACAAAUGGUGGAGCGGUGAAAUGCGCAGAUAUCAGGAGGAACACCGGUGGCGAAGGCGGGUCUCUGGGCCGAUACUGACGCUGAGGAGCGAAAGCGUGGGGAGCGAACAGG
rnacentral:rRNA from 1 species